UCCGGUAUAGUGUAGGGGUUGUAAGUUACACUCUCAAUCAGGCCAAUUAGCAUACCCUAACAUGUUUCCAGAACAUACUCCGCUUUCAAGAACACACCUAAGUUCGAAGAGCCGGAGAGCCCCGGGUUCGAUUCCCGGUACCGGAA